rnacentral:rRNA from 1 species
AAUAGAUACCCUGGUAGUCCACGCCGUAAACGAUGAGUGCUAAGUGUUGGGGGGUUUCCGCCCCUCAGUGCUGCGGCUAACGCAUUAAGCACUCCGCCUGGGGAGUACGGUCGCAAGACUGAAACUCAAAGGAAUUGACGGGGGCCCGCACAAGCGGUGGAGCAUGUGGUUUAAUUCGAAGCAACGCGAAGAACCUUACCAGGUCUUGACAUCCCGGUGACCACUAUGGAGACAUAGUUUCCCCUUCGGGGGCAACGGUGACAGGUGGUGCAUGGUUGUCGUCAGCUCGUGUCGUGAGAUGUUGGGUUAAGUCCCGCAACGAGCGCAACCCUUAUUCUUAGUUGCCAUCAUUCAGUUGGGCACUCUAAGGAGACUGCCGGUGAUAAACCGGAGGAAGGUGGGGAUGACGUCAAAUCAUCAUGCCCCUUAUGACCUGGGCUACACACGUGCUACAAUGGACGGUACAAACGGUUGCCAACCCGCGAGGGGGAGCUAAUCCGAUAAAACCGUUCUCAGUUCGGAUUGUAGGCUGCAACUCGCCUACA